AUAACACAGUGUUCUAAUAUCUGAUUAUAUGUUUAUUUACUUUUAUUUUGGCUGCAGAGAACAACUGAAAUUACAGGAGGAAAGGAAAUGGAAGAAGAAACUAUUGACGUUAUUUUUAUCUCAAUCAUUUAAUAGUUACUGUUUCUCUAAGAACCUUGUGACUGCUUCAGGAGAAUAAGAAGUCCCAGUGCCCCAGCCCCCAACAAACUCCCUCUGUUGCCCUAGUGUAUCAGCUUAUUGCGGACUAUUAGCUACAGCAGAACAUCUUUUGAAGACAGAGCGUUGUAUACAUUGUCCAGGUGUAAGAAACUGAAGUUAACGAUACUUAAAGACACCUUACCCCGCCAAGACCAGGGGGGCCAGGAGGGCCAGGGGGGCCAGGAGGGCCUGGGAUGCCGUCAUCACCAUCUCUGCCUGGUGGGCCUGGUGG